rnacentral:lncRNA from 1 species
UGAAAACCAGUCAUCAAAGCUAACCGUGAGAAGACUUGAGGAUCUAGGGAAAGAUUUAGAAGAAGUGCAUCUUAUACUAAAUGGUGACCUUCUGCAGGAAGAGCCCAGGAAUCAGCAUCCAGAGCCAUCCAGAAGCUUCCAUAGCAAGCCACCACCCUAUGCUUUGAGAUUUUGACCCAACACAAGCACAUGCCCAGAUAGAUAGAAGCAC